UGAUUCACGUGUGAAUAAAACGAUGAUUUAUUUUAGCCGCUUUUAAUUGAAAUCAACCAAGAUAUGCUGCCCUCCCCUAACCCCGUGAAUCAAGCACACCACCCUAAAAUUUAACUAAAGUUAAAAAAUAUAUAAAUUAAUUUUUAGAACUUUAAGAGGGUGGACCCAAAACUCAGUUUUUGUUUAUUCCGCUAUUUUGAUUGAUGUUUUUGUAAAGCAGUAAACCUUAAAAACACAUAGAAGCUUUAAGAUGUUCAAGAGAUCAGAGCCGAAGAGCUCUUGCCAACGGAAGUAAUGGACAAGCUAAGUCAGGAA